AGAAUCAACGCUGGCGGCGUGCCUAACACAUGCAAGUCGCACGAGAAAGGGUAGCAAUACCUGAGUACAGUGGCGCACGGGUGAGUAACACGUGAAUAAUCUACCUCCGAGUGGGGAAUAACUGAGAGAAAUCUUAGCUAAUACCGCAUAAUACCCACGGGUCAAAGCAGCAAUGCGCUUGGAGAGGAGUUCGCGGCAGAUUAGUUAGUUGGCGGGGUAAUGGCCCACCAAGACGAUGAUCUGUAUCCGGCCUGAGAGGGCGCACGGACACACUGGAACUGAAACACGGUCCAGACUCCUACGGGAGGCAGCAGUGGGGAAUUUUGCGCAAUGGGGGAAACCCUGACGCAGCAACGCCGCGUGGAGGAUGAAGCCCCUUGGGGUGUAAACUCCUUCGAUCGGGAAGAUAAUGACGGUACCGAUAUAAGAAGCCCGGCUAACUUCGUGCCAGCAGCCGC
rnacentral:rRNA from 1 species